rnacentral:rRNA from 1 species
AUUGAACGCUGGCGGCAUGCUUUACACAUGCAAGUCGAACGGUAACAGGCCUUCGGGUGCUGACGAGUGGCGAACGGGUGAGUAAAGCAUCGGAACGUACCCAGAGGUGGGGGAUAACGCAGCGAAAGCUGUGCUAAUACCGCAUGUGAUCUGAGGAUGAAAGCGGGGGACCGAGCAGCAAUGUUUGGCCUCGCGCCUUUGGAGCGGCCGAUGUCGGAUUAGCUAGUUGGUGGGGUAAAGGCCUACCAAGGCGACGAUCCGUAGCUGGUCUGAGAGGACGACCAGCCACACUGGGACUGAGACACGGCCCAGACUCCUACGGGAGGCAGCAGUGGGGAAUUUUGGACAAUGGGCGCAAGCCUGAUCCAGCAAUGCCGCGUGCGGGAAGAAGGCCUUCGGGUUGUAAACCGCUUUUGGCAGGAACGAAACGGUGUCCGCUAAUACCGGGCGCUAAUGACGGUACCUGCAGAAUAAGCACCGGCUAACUACGUG